ACUAUCAUUAACUGAAUCCAUAGGUUAAUGAGGCGAACCGGGGGAACUGAAACAUCUAAGUACCCCGAGGAAAAGAAAUCAACCGAGAUUCCCCCAGUAGCGGCGAGCGAACGGGGAGCAGCCCAGAGCCUGAAUCAGUGUGUGUGUUAGUGGAAGCGUCUGGAAAGGCGCGCGAUACAGGGUGACAGCCCCGUACACAAAAAUGCACAUGCUGUGAGCUCGAUGAGUAGGGCGGGACACGUGGUAUCCUGUCUGAAUAUGGGGGGACCAUCCUCCAAGGCUAAAUACUCCUGACUGACCGAUAGUGAACCAGUACCGUGAGGGAAAGGCGAAAAGAACCCCGGCGAGGGGAGUGAAAAAGAACCUGAAACCGUGUACGUACAAGCAGUGGGAGCCUCUUUAUGGGGUGACUGCGUACCUUUUGUAUAAUGGGUCAGCGACUUAUAUUCUGUAGCAAGGUUAACCGAAUAGGGGAGCCGAAGGGAAACCGAGUCUUAACUGGGCGUUAAGUUGCAGGGUAUAGACCCGAAACCCGGUGAUCUAGCCAUGGGCAGGUUGAAGGUUGGGUAACACUAACUGGAGGACCGAACCGACUAAUGUUGAAAAAUUAGCGGAUGACUUGUGGCUGGGGGUGAAAGGCCAAUCAAACCGGGAGAUAGCUGGUUCUCCCCGAAAGCUAUUUAGGUAGCGCCUCGUGAAUUCAUCUCCGGGGGUAGAGCACUGUUUCGGCAAGGGGGUCAUCCCGACUUACCAACCCGAUGCAAACUGCGAAUACCGGAGAAUGUUAUCACGGGAGACACACGGCGGGUGCUAACGUCCGUCGUGAAGAGGGAAACAACCCAGACCGCCAGCUAAGGUCCCAAAGUCAUGGUUAAGUGGGAAACGAUGUGGGAAGGCCCAGACAGCCAGGAUGUUGGCUUAGAAGCAGCCAUCAUUUAAAGAAAGCGUAAUAGCUCACUGGUCGAGUCGGCCUGCGCGGAAGAUGUAACGGGGCUAAACCAUGCACCGAAGCUGCGGCAGCGACGCUUAUGCGUUGUUGGGUAGGGGAGCGUUCUGUAAGCCUGUGAAGGUGUGCUGUGAGGCAUGCUGGAGGUAUCAGAAGUGCGAAUGCUGACAUAAGUAACGAUAAAGCGGGUGAAAAGCCCGCUCGCCGGAAGACCAAGGGUUCCUGUCCAACGUUAAUCGGGGCAGGGUGAGUCGACCCCUAAGGCGAGGCCGAAAGGCGUAGUCGAUGGGAAACAGGUUAAUAUUCCUGUACUUGGUGUUACUGCGAAGGGGGGACGGAGAAGGCUAUGUUGGCCGGGCGACGGUUGUCCCGGUUUAAGCGUGUAGGCUGGUUUUCCAGGCAAAUCCGGAAAAUCAAGGCUGAGGCGUGAUGACGAGGCACUACGGUGCUGAAGCAACAAAUGCCCUGCUUCCAGGAAAAGCCUCUAAGCAUCAGGUAACAUCAAAUCGUACCCCAAACCGACACAGGUGGUCAGGUAGAGAAUACCAAGGCGCUUGAGAGAACUCGGGUGAAGGAACUAGGCAAAAUGGUGCCGUAACUUCGGGAGAAGGCACGCUGAUAUGUAGGUGAGGUCCCUCGCGGAUGGAGCUGAAAUCAGUCGAAGAUACCAGCUGGCUGCAACUGUUUAUUAAAAACACAGCACUGUGCAAACACGAAAGUGGACGUAUACGGUGUGACGCCUGCCCGGUGCCGGAAGGUUAAUUGAUGGGGUUAGCGGUAACGCGAAGCUCUUGAUCGAAGCCCCGGUAAACGGCGGCCGUAACUAUAACGGUCCUAAGGUAGCGAAAUUCCUUGUCGGGUAAGUUCCGACCUGCACGAAUGGCGUAAUGAUGGCCAGGCUGUCUCCACCCGAGACUCAGUGAAAUUGAACUCGCUGUGAAGAUGCAGUGUACCCGCGGCAAGACGGAAAGACCCCGUGAACCUUUACUAUAGCUUGACACUGAACAUUGAGCCUUGAUGUGUAGGAUAGGUGGGAGGCUUUGAAGUGUGGACGCCAGUCUGCAUGGAGCCGACCUUGAAAUACCACCCUUUAAUGUUUGAUGUUCUAACGUUGACCCGUAAUCCGGGUUGCGGACAGUGUCUGGUGGGUAGUUUGACUGGGGCGGUCUCCUCCUAAAGAGUAACGGAGGAGCACGAAGGUUGGCUAAUCCUGGUCGGACAUCAGGAGGUUAGUGCAAUGGCAUAAGCCAGCUUGACUGCGAGCGUGACGGCGCGAGCAGGUGCGAAAGCAGGUCAUAGUGAUCCGGUGGUUCUGAAUGGAAGGGCCAUCGCUCAACGGAUAAAAGGUACUCCGGGGAUAACAGGCUGAUACCGCCCAAGAGUUCAUAUCGACGGCGGUGUUUGGCACCUCGAUGUCGGCUCAUCACAUCCUGGGGCUGAAGUAGGUCCCAAGGGUAUGGCUGUUCGCCAUUUAAAGUGGUACGCGAGCUGGGUUUAGAACGUCGUGAGACAGUUCGGUCCCUAUCUGCCGUGGGCGCUGGAGAACUGAGGGGGGCUGCUCCUAGUACGAGAGGACCGGAGUGGACGCAUCACUGGUGUUCGGGUUGUCAUGCCAAUGGCACUGCCCGGUAGCUAAAUGCGGAAGAGAUAAGUGCUGAAAGCAUCUAAGCACGAAACUUGCCCCGAGAUGAGUUCUCCCUGACUCCUUGA
rnacentral:rRNA from 1 species